rnacentral:rRNA from 1 species
GGCGCUUGGACGAGCAACGCGAUGGACAUCAGUGGUGAGCCAAAUGGCACGUACACCGUCGUUGUCACAGGCACCAAUGCCUCAAAUGUGGAAGCAACAGAAAGCACAAACUUCACGUUGGCACAGGCGUUGCCAACACUGACCAACGCAACCUUUAACCCAACGCACCAAGCGGAAGG